rnacentral:rRNA from 1 species
AUUGAACGCUGGCGGCAGGCCUAACACAUGCAAGUCGAACGGAGUGGCGGACGGGUGAGUAAUGUCUGGGAAACUGCCCGAUAGAGGGGGAUAACGACCGGAAACGGUAGCUAAUACCGCAUACUAUCAGAUGAGCCACGGUGGGAUUAGCUGGUUGUUGGGGUAAAGGCCUACCAAGGCGACGAUCCGUAGCUGGUCUGAGAGGAUGAUCAGUCACACUUGAACUGAGACACGGUCCCGACUCCUACGGGAGGCAGCAGUGGUGAAUAUUGGACAAUGGGCGAAAGCCUGAUCCAGCCAUGCCGCGUGUGUGAAGAAGGUCUUCGGAUUGUAAAGUACUUUCAGUUGGGAGGCGUUACCAACAGAAUAAGCACCGGCUAACGCCGUGCCAGCAGCCGCGGUAAUAC